rnacentral:misc_RNA from 1 species
UUAAGUUCAGCGGGUAUCCCUACCUGAUCCGAGGUCAACCUGUAAAAAUUGGGGGUUACGUGCAAGCAUCCACCGGGCAUCCAGAGCGAGAGAUUUACUACGCUUAGAGCCAGACGGCACCGCCACUGAUUUUAGGGCACCCCGUUGCCGGGGACGCCCAAUACCAAGCAGAGCUUGAGGGUUGUAAUGACGCUCGAACA